CAGAAAGUCGCGUCCGCGCCUAGUUCUUGGUUCAAUGCCGGGUAGGUCUUCGUCACCAGGAAUACCAGAAACCAAUUCAGCAUCACGGCGAGACCGGAAGCGAUCGCUUUAGUCUCUGCGGUGAACAGUUCGCCCAUCAGCAUCCAAGCCUACCCAACGGAGAAGACGAUCAUGUAUAAUGUCAGAGAUGUGAGCGGCAGCCAGCCGAGUGUACUGAUGUCGCCGCCGUCAUCCUUAAUCUUGAAGUACAGACCGAGAGCCACGAGACUGACUGACAUAACUCCUGAGGAGAGGAUUAGCAGCGGCUUCCGGCCUGCGCGAUCCACAAUCACAGCUGCUACGGCUGACAUCACCGUCUGUCAACAGUGAUACUUCGAAUAAAUAUCAUUGUCUAACGCUGUCGUUAAUAAUCACAUGAGAUGAACACAGACACGCGAAUAUAUAGAAUGUGAACGAAGAAUAUCACAUGGUUAUACUGCGAGCAUAAAAUCCGAGAGCAACAAAUUGAAAAUUUCUGAGAAGGCAAUAAAUAAAGAGAAUUUGAAAGAUUUUAUAUAAUCUAGAAAAAAAGAUUCUAUAUAAAAAUUCUAUAAAAAUAAUAUGUUAAUAAAUUUAUACCAAUUCUUGAAGCAAGGCGAAAGAUAUAAAGUUUAACUUUUGCUCAAAGGAAUAUUCGUUUGAAUACUGAAAAUUGUAUUUUAGGGAAAAGUUUUGUAAUAAUUUGUAUAAUUUCCUUCUUAAAGUGGCACACCGUCAUCGUUUUCGUCGAUAAACACACCUGGACUAACGCGACAAUUAUAGAAGCGACGUCCGCCGGUAUCGAACUUCCAGAUUCUUCGAAAAUGGUGGUGGUGUAGAAGAUUACUGCGUUUAUACCGGACAUCUGUUGAAAGAACAUGCAACCUAAUGUGGCAAGCAUGGCUCUUCUGGUCGCAGGAGAACGUAUGAGAUCAAAUACGCUCGAAUUUUUCGAUGUCAUUGCUUCCAUUGCUCGCCGCAUUUCCGCGAGCUCUUCAGAUGGAUCGUAGAUGUUACCUCGGAGAAUCGCCAAUGCCGAUUUAGCUUCUGACUCCCGCUUUACAUUCUGUAAAAUUUAAAGACAUUCAUUUAUAAGUAAAAAAGAUUAAGAUCAAUUUUCCUUAGUAAUAAUACAACGAUAUAAGAACAAAGUCGUCUUCAAAUUGUUCAAAGAAUCUGCUAAAAAUAAUGUUGUAAAAUCCUGUACUUUAUUAAAAUUUAUUGACUGAACGUACCACCAGCCAAACAGGCGACUCCGGCAUCCACACAAAGGAAGCUAAGAAGAUGAGCUCUACGAGGGCGCAAACUAUAGCGAAUUCUGUGUAGUUCAUCACGGAUCCCAAUAUGAAAGCUAGCAGGAUACCAACAGUGAGAAACACUUGGAACAAAGCGCAGAGAGUGCCACGUGCCGACGUCUCCGCGAUCUCAGACACGUAUAUCGGCAUGAGAACGCAGGCUGCCCCGACUCCAAUGCCUAUCAAAAAUCUGGCCGCCAUAAUCAGCCACAGCCGGGAAGCGAGUAUGAUGAUCGCCCAGGACAGAAGAAAUGGAGCCGACAGCAGGAGAAGCGAUUUCUUUCGACCUAGUUUGUCUGCCAUCGGUCCGGAUGGAAGGGCGCCCGCGAUCGCACCUAAUGCCAGUAACGAGCCCACCCAGGACCCUUGCUCCGGGGUGAUGAUUAACCAAGAGUCUGCUUGAUAUAACUUGGGUAGUACGGGGGACGUCCAAGCCAUAGCGGUGCCAAUGCCGACGGCCAUUAUGCAGACUAAGAAGAUUUAAACGAGAAGUUAAUUAAAGGGCGCAGUUAAUUAGAAGGAAGACUCACCCUAUGAGAAACUUCAUUACGCUCGCUAUUGCGGCGGUAAUUAAUAAAAAA